rnacentral:piRNA from 1 species
UACUAAUUCAGGUACGUUGGAUCUCCAC